CGCCACGGCUUGAUCGCCCGCGCCUUGGAGCUUGCUACAAGAGGAGAAGGGCUGGUCGCUGUACGCUGGCCGCGGGUACAUCGCCUCAUGCUGGAACCCGGGCUCCCGUGCCCGGGUAUAGUAAUCCGGAGAAUGACUUGUUCACUGUUGGGGAGUAGACAAGGAACCGCACCGUGGAAAGAAAGGCCAGACCAACAUCUAUUUCCUCCGGGAACUCUGCAUUUUCCUGUUUAGCCCUCGGAUUUCACUAACUGUCAGCGCGGAAAAGCAAUAUACACAUAUUUUUUUUAAAAAAAGAGACGUGGGGAAUGUUUCGAAAUUCUGAAAGAAGGAAAACUUUUGACUCCCAAAGAUAGAUUCUGACCUCUCUCGCCCCUUCAAACUACACACCGGAAACGGCGAGAAUUAAAAACUUGACUGGCCGGAUUCGAGGACUGUGCACGCCAAUAAUUAUCAGGCUCGCGUCUCACCUUGCGGUCGCAUCCAAGGGAAGAGCUGCGUCGGGGAGGAACUCUGCUCAGAAUUCUCCGCCUCUUCUCCCAGGCUGUUCGCCGUCGACUUGCAGUCGGGGUACUGGACCAACUCGGCCUCUUGCUG